AGUUCAAUUCCCGGCGAUGCGUUGUCCUUGAGCAAGACACUUUAUUUCACGUUGCUCCAGUCAACGCAGCUGCCAAAAAUGAGUAGUACAUAUAUCUCAAAGGACCAACCUUGUCACAUUCUGUGUCAUGUCGAAUCUCCCUGAGAACUACGUGUCUGUGGAGUGCUCAGCCACAUGAACGUUAAUUUCACGAUCAAGCUGUUCUAUUGAUCGUACCAACUGGAUCCCUCGUCUUCGUAACCGACGGAGGACCAGUUGUAUCUUCAAGGCUAGGCAGAAUGGAGUUCUUUAACUUGGCUAUUAACAUUUACUACAUCAAAGGUGGCGAGCUUGGCAGAAUCGUUUGCACACUGGGCGAAAUACUUAGCGGCAUUUCGUCCGUCUUUACGUUCUGAGUUCAAAUUCCACCGAGGUCGACUUUGCCUUCCAUCCUUUUCGGAGUCGAUAAAAUAAGUACAGUAGAACCUUGCAGUACAAGUACCCUAUUGUACGAGUAAUUUGCUGUACGAGCCGAGACUCGUACGAAUUUUUGUCUUGAAGUACGAACGGAAGGAAAUCCGCAGUACACGUGCAAGGCGGCGAGUUGGCAGAAACGUUAGCACGCCGGGCGAAAUGCUUAGGGGUCUGUCUUUAUGUUCUGAGUUCAAAUUCCCACCGAGGUCGACUUUGCCUUUUAUCCUUUCGGGGUCGAUAAAUUAAGUAUCAAUUGCGUACUGGGGUCGAUCUAAUCGACUGAUCCCCUCCCCCAAAAUUUCGGACCUUGUGCCUAGAGUAGAAAAGAUUCCUUGUACACGAUGCACCAUACAUGAGAUGUUGAAGUAAUCGCAGAGCAAUGUGAAAUUAAGCUCAAGGACACAACGCAACACCCUGUCCAGGGAUCGAAACCACCAUCUCGAGAUAGUGAGUGCAAUACUCUAGCCACUAGCCCACGCGCCCACGCGCCCCCACAUCACCACACAUGUUUGGGCUGAGACACAAACUACGUCUGAGUUUCAAAAGGGAUUUCGCCAUGGCAGACAAUAUCGCGAGUAGCUCUCAGUCACCACCACCACCACAACCACCACCGCUACUGCUACUACUACUACUACUACUACCACCACCCUAGCAAACUCUCUGUGAUAUCUCUUAGUCGUCCCAUAAAACUGACAAUCACAGACAAGUGUCAUUGUAUCCACUCACCGUUGCCAACCAACAAAGAAGAUUCGGUGUCGCGUGGUUACAACACAUCGUCUGGCCCGACCUGUUCCAACCUAUUCCAGAUUUUUGUGCACAGUACGUCACUGAUUUGGUUCGAUUUUAUAGACUAUGUCAGUGCACACAGCAAGCCAGACAAACAGCAGGAACAACGGGACUGUUGCAAUCUCACAAUGUCACAACAACCUGGCCAUUUGUUACAGUACGCCUGACUUCGGAUUUUGCGCGCAAAAUGAAUUCAGUGCAAGCAUGGAGCUUUCUCACCAGCGAAGCGCCCUCUGCUGGCCGCAGAAACACGAUAGGCUUGCCUGCAGUCUUUGGGAUGUGCCUCCCCUAGAUUUUUCUCUCAGAAGUAAUACUGGUGCAUGCAUGCGUGGAAUUCCUUUGGUUGUCCGAAGCAGACAGAAAUCUCAGAGUGCAACACACCUUUACACCAAACCAACGACCCAUCAACACUUCAAAGAACCCAACUUGCCUGAACUGAUGCAGCGUUGUCCUGCGUCCAGUGAGAACAAAAGCAAUUUCGUUCUUCGAUUCAAAAUCCUGCGGCCCAACACAGCCAGAAAGCUUGCUGUCAGAUUCGGUAAACUCCCAGUCGGAUGUUACACGAAUCCAAAACCACAUGACCAU